rnacentral:lncRNA from 1 species
GUCUCUCUGAGGGAGUUUUGUGUUCCAGUCCUCUGUCCUUGAAUUCUAGAAUGUGGCUGCACAUUGUCUUUUCUUCACAUGUAUCUGUGUCCAAAUUUCCUUGUUCUGUGAGAAUACAAGUCAUAGUGGAUUAGGGUCCACACUUAUGACCUCAUUUGAAUGUAAUUACCUAUGUACAGACCUCUUCUCUAAUGUGGUCACAUUGUGAUGUGCCAGGGGUCAACAUGGCAGCAUGAAUUUGGAAAACACCAUGAUUAGGAAGUCAUUAGCAGAACUGUGGGAUGUGAAAGGAAUGAUCAUGCUGCAAAUGAGAAGAACACCUAGCAAUCCUUGGGUAACCACAGGAGCAUCUCCUAGAAAGCCAAGUUAAAAAAUAAAGAAGGAACAAACAAAAGAGAAAUCUGAGUACAGAUAUGAGUGGUCAUUUACCAUAAAGGAGGUAACUGUCACAGAUUGCAUCCACUCAAUGCACAAAACCAAAAAGAAGGAAACAAAACCAAAUGUGGUAACUA